CCCUUAGAUGUCCUGGGCCGCACGCGCGCUACAAUGACACAUGCAACAAGUUCUAUCCUGGCUCGGAAGAGUUUCGGGUAAUCUUUAUAAUGUGUGUCGUGCUGGGGAUCGAUCUUUGUAAUUAUGGAUCUUGAACGAGGAAUUCCUAGUAAGCAUAAGUCAUCAGCUUGUGCUGAUUACGUCCCUGCCCUUUGUACACACCGCCCGUCGCUCCUACCGAUUGAGUGGUCCGGUGAGGCUUUGGGAUCUGAGCGGAAAGAGCGUUUCGCUGUUUCUGCUCGGAAAACUCAGUCGAACCUUAUCAUUUAGAGGAAGGAGAAGUCGUAACA
rnacentral:rRNA from 1 species